rnacentral:rRNA from 1 species
CCUAUAAUGCAGUCGAGCGAUGGAUUGAGAGCUUGCUCUCAAGAAGUUAGCGGCGGACGGGUGAGUAACACGUGGGUAACCUGCCCAUAAGACUGGGAUAACUCCGGGAAACCGGGGCUAAUACCGGAUAAUAUUUUGAACUGCAUGGUUCGAAAUUGAAAGGCGGCUUCGGCUGUCACUUAUGGAUGGACCCGCGUCGCAUUAGCUAGUUGGUGAGGUAACGGCUCACCAAGGCAACGAUGCGUAGCCGACCUGAGAGGGUGAUCGGCCACACUGGGACUGAGACACGGCCCAGACUCCUACGGGAGGCAGCAGUAGGGAAUCUUCCGCAAUGGACGAAAGUCUGACGGAGCAACGCCGCGUGAGUGAUGAAGGCUUUCGGGUCGUAAAACUCUGUUGUUAGGGAAGAACAAGUGCUAGUUGAAUAAGCUGGCACCUUGACGGUACCUAACCAGAAAGCCACGGCUAACUACGUGCCAGCAGCCGCGGUAAUACGUAGGUGGCAAGCGUUAUCCGGAAUUAUUGGGCGUAAAGCGCGCGCAGGUGGUUUCUUAAGUCUGAUGUGAAAGCCCACGGCUCAACCGUGGAGGGUCAUUGGAAACUGGGAGACUUGAGUGCAGAAGAGGAAAGUGGAAUUCCAUGUGUAGCGGUGAA